UAUGUGAUCGUCUCUCGCAUAUCAAUAAGCGGAGGAAAAGGAAUAUCAUCACAGCGAAAUGAAACUACCUACGCUUAGGAUGUUGACACACGCGCGUGCUCGACUCUAUACAUGACUCUGCGCAUAUCAAUAAGCGGAGGAAAAGGCUGCGGAACUGAACGACCGCUACCUACGCUUAGGAUGUUGACACACGCGCGUGCUCGACUCUAUACAUGACUCUGUGCAUAUCAAUAAGCGGAGGAAAAGAAACUAACAAGGAUUCCCCUAGUAACGGCGAGUGAAGCGGGAAGAGCUCAAAUUUGAAAUCUUAAAGGGUUUCCCUUUACGAAUUGUAGUUUAAAGAAGUGUUUUCUGUUGAGGUUUUGGUAAAAGUUCUUUGGAAUAGGACAUCAUAGAGGGUGAGAAUCCCGUAUUUGACCUUUACUUUCAACUUUGUGAUACACUUUCAAAGAGUCGGAUUGUUUGGGAAUGCAGUCCAAAAUGGGUGGUAAAUUUCAUCUAAAGCUAAAUAUUGGCGAGAGACCGAUAGCGAACAAGUACCGUGAGGGAAAGAUGAAAAGAACUUUGAAAAGAGAGUUAAACAGUACGUGAAAUUGUCAAAAGGGAAGCGUUUGACACCAGUGUUGUUUUUCUGAAAAUCAAUUAAAGAACUGUUUAUGCUAAGCUGUUUAGACUUUAUCAGCUAACUGUUUAGUUUUGAGCUUUUCUUUAAUGCACUUUUCAGUUAACAAGUCAACAUCAAUUUCUUUUGCUGUAAAAAAGCUUGAGGAAGGUGGCUUGAGAUUCGUCUUAAGUGUUUAUAGCCUCUUGCCUAUGCAGUCGGAGAGAUUGAGGUCUGCAGCGUAGAUCCUUCGGGGCUAAAUGCAUUUGUGCUAAGUUAUAGCAUUUUAUAGACAACUUGUUGACUAUGAUUUGUCUUGUAGCUUACUCGCUUAUGUUAUUUUACCUACGCUUAGGAUGUUGACACACGCGCGUGCUCG
rnacentral:rRNA from 1 species